rnacentral:lncRNA from 1 species
CCAAUAUACUCAUUAAUUUAACCAGCAAACUGCAAUAAAAAUAACUAACAAAUAAUCCAAUAUGAUAUAAGUGAAUAUAUAUAAUAUAUAGCCUAGUGAUGUAGCUCUUGAAUUGUUGGUAUAAAUAAAUUAUGCAUAAUGGAAGCCAAUGGAAGAGAAUCACUGAAAAUCAUAAUAAAUCCCAUAACAAAUUUAGUCUUACGAAACCA